GACGAACGCUGGCGGCGUGCUUAACACAUGCAAGUCGAACGGAAAGGCCCUGCUUUUGUGGGGUGCUCGAGUGGCGAACGGGUGAGUAACACGUGAGUAACCUGCCCUUGACUUUGGGAUAACUUCAGGAAACUGGGGCUAAUACCGGAUAGGAGCUCCUGCUGCAUGGUGGGGGUUGGAAAGUUUCGGCGGUUGGGGAUGGACUCGCGGCUUAUCAGCUUGUUGGUGGGGUAGUGGCUUACCAAGGCUUUGACGGGUAGCCGGCCUGAGAGGGUGACCGGCCACAUUGGGACUGAGAUACGGCCCAGACUCCUACGGGAGGCAGCAGUGGGGAAUAUUGCACAAUGGGCGGAAGCCUGAUGCAGCAACGCCGCGUGCGGGAUGACGGCCUUCGGGUUGUAAACCGCUUUCGCCUGUGACGAAGCGUGAGUGACGGUAAUGGGUAAAGAAGCACCGGCUAACUACGUGCCAGCAGCCGCGGUGAUACGUAGGGUGCGAGCGUUGUCCGGAUUUAUUGGGCGUAAAGGGCUCGUAGGUGGUUGAUCGCGUCGGAAGUGUAAUCUUGGGGCUUAACCCUGAGCGUGCUUUCGAUACGGGUUGACUUGAGGAAGGUAGGGGAGAAAUGGAAUUCCUGGUGGAGCGGGGGAAUGCGCAGAUAUCAGGAGGAACACCAGUGGCGAAGGCGGUUCUCUGGGCCUUUCCUGACGCUGAGGAGCGAAAGCGUGGGGAGCGAACAGGCUUAGAUACCCUGGUAGUCCACGCUGUAAACGGUGGGUACUAGGUGUGGGGUCCAUUCCACGGGUUCCGUGCCGCAGCUAACGCUUUAAGUACCCCGCCUGGGGAGUACGGCCGCAAGGCUAAAACUCAAAGGAAUUGACGGGGCCCCGCACAAGCGGCGGAGCAUGCGGAUUAAUUCGAUGCAACGCGUAGAACCUUACCUGGGUUUGACAUGGAUCGGGAGUGCUCAGAGAUGGGUGUGCCUCUUUUGGGGUCGGUUCACAGGUGGUGCAUGGCUGUCGUCAGCUCGUGUCGUGAGAUGUUGGGUUAAGUCCCGCAACGAGCGCAACCCUUGUUCACUGUUGCCAGCACGUUAUGGUGGGGACUCAGUGGAGACCGCCGGGGUCAACUCGGAGGAAGGUGGGGAUGACGUCAAGUCAUCAUGCCCCUUAUGUCCAGGGCUUCACGCAUGCUACAAUGGCUGGUAUAGAGAGUGGCGAGCCUGUAAGGGUGAGCGAAUCUCGGAAAGCCGGUCCCAGUUCGGAUUGGGGUCUGCAACUCGACCUCAUGAAGUCGGAGUCGCUAGUAAUCGCAGAUCAGCAACGCUGCGGUGAAUACGUUCCCGGG
rnacentral:rRNA from 1 species